UUAACCGAAACCAAAGAAAGAGGUAUAUUAUUGUUAAUAAUAAAAUUGAAUUAAUAUUCCGGUUAAG
rnacentral:tRNA from 1 species